GGAUAGCUCAAUUGGUGGAGCAUGAAACUCUGAAUCUCAGGGUCAUGGGUCUGAGCGCCACGUUGAGCA